GACGAACGCUGGCGGCGUGCUUAACACAUGCAAGUCGAGCGGUAAGGCCCUUUCGGGGGUACACGAGCGGCGAACGGGUGAGUAACACGUGGGUGACCUGCCCUCAGCUCUGGGAUAAGCCUGGGAAACUGGGUCUAAUACUGGAUAUGACUCCACGGUGCAUGUCGUGGGGUGGAAAGCCUUGUGCGGCUGAGGAUGGGCCCGCGGCCUAUCAGCUUGUUGGUGGGGUGAGGCCUACCAAGGCGACGACGGGUAGCCGGCCUGAGAGGGCGACCGGCCACACUGGGACUGAGACACGGCCCAGACUCCUACGGGAGGCAGCAGUGGGGAAUCUUGCGCAAUGGGCGAAAGCCUGACGCAGCGACGCCGCGUGAGGGAUGACGGCCUGGUUGUAAC
rnacentral:rRNA from 1 species